UCGGUUUCGGCGGGGGCGAAGAGGCGCACUACCGCAGGCGGUGGCGCGCUCUUCACGCGUCGGUUCGCCUUCUCCGCACAUAGAAACCGGCGCGCCAGGUGCAUGACAUGUGGGCCUGGGCCCCCAUGCCAGAGGUUGGAUCGCUGGUUGCAGCAAAGAUGAAGGGGCGUUGUAACACCCCACUGGUCGCACAGAAUGGAUAAUACCAUAAACCUCAUCCACCAAACUUACUCAACGCAAGAGAUGUAAUAAAGAAAGAAUAUAAAGCAAGAAAAAAUCCGGCAGCACCUCCUUUGAAAACUAGCAUAACAAGGAGGGAAAACAUGAAGCUCAUACAAGAUAUAAAGACAUAUAAUUCACAUAGUAGAAACUGUAAUGCAAAAGUGGUAAAACUUAAUUAUGACCCAACUGAAGUAAAACAAAUGGGAUAAGGAACUCAGCCCACCCCAAAAUAAACGCUCAACUAAGAACAAAGCAAUUCACUAGACUUGUCCAACUCUGAUUAACAACAUUAUUAAAUGGUGAUUCCUUUAUUAAAGGUGUAGUGGCCGUGCUGCUACAUCCCUCUAUUCCCCAAAGCAAAAAUUAGGUGCCUGCAUCAAACAAUGCAAGAUGUGAGAUAACACAUCUCAGCAAGUAAACUUAACAACAACAAAUAGGACAUUGUAAAUCAACUGUGCUUACACAACCACGUGUACAUGACUUCUUUCUUUUCCUUUGAACAGUAAAUUGCAGCAAGUAUACAAGUAACUAAAAACUCAACGCCAAGUAGAAUCACCAUGCACAAGUCCAAAUUAUCCACAUCCACAUAAUAGAUUCAACACCUCUCCCAUGAAUGCACAUGGCUACAAAUGCAAUAAUGACUUCUGCCUCCAUAUCUCUAAGGAUAUGAAGCUGCACCAUACCCCUUCUCGGGCAACAUAUGAUGCUCAAUGUACCGGUACGGUCGGACCAUAAGAUCACGACGAAACUUCAAUGCAAUGGAUGAUGAGUGCAUUAUGCAUGACAACAUCAUAAGUUCUUCCCAAAUAAAAAUGUGCUAGGCAUUUACUUCCACCCAUUCCACAUAAUAACCACUUGAGUAACAUAAUCAAACCUCAAACUCAACAUAUGAAAUCUAUGAAACAUGAACAUUUUCAAAUGUUGGUACUCAAAAGAAAAUAUGAAUUUGAACAUGAUAGCACAACAUAAACAAGUAUAAGACUCCUCAUCUGACAGACGGAAUAACCGUCACAGUUUUACUUGCCUUCACCGGAGUUUGGGCAAAAUCCCUAAGAACGAUCCGGAAGUCCACCACCUGUUUUUGACACCCAACUUAGUGCACCAAAUUCAUAUAAAAAAACUCAAAGACAACACCGCACCUACGCGCAGUCUCAAACCCCGCCGCGGUAACAGUUCUCCCCUCACUAACCAAACUGCAGUGGCGCUGCUUAACAAUUCCAUAACUUAAAAAUUAGGAUAGCAGUGGUGUCAAACGAAAACUUCAGAGACAACUACAUAAAAUUCCCCACAAGUUUUGUAUACAACUCAUGAUUAAAUUCUAACAUCUACUUACCUCUAAACGGUCCACAAAAUAAACCCUGCAAUCUGUUUUUUUCUGAUUUGGGCAGCGACAUACUCGGAUUCAAACAGCGAUAACUUUUAAAAUACAAUUCCGAUUUGAGCGCAUAAGUACUUGUUGGAAAGAUAAGAAAAAGCCCUACAUGAUUCUCAUACUGAUUAACACUAAUUACUCCCGAAAAAUCCCCAGAAACUGCUAAUACUGCUGCUGUUCAUCACUCUGAAAAAUCUGUUUUUUGGACAGCCACAUACCCGGAUUCAAACGAUGAUAACUUUUAAUUUAUAACUCCAAAUUGAGCGCAUAAAUACUCGUUGGAAAGGUAAAACAAAGUUCUACAAGAUCCCCAAAUUGAUCCCCAUUAAUUCUUCACGAAAAAACCCUAAAAACUGCUAGAACUUCCGCUGUUCAUCCACCACGUAAAAUUCUGGACAGCCCCCUCUAUCUAAUCGCAAACGCAACAUCUAAUCAAUUGAAUCGCAGCGCAAAUGAACAAGGGAUGAACAAAAAAAUCACCUUGGGUUCUCCCCCUUUCCUUCCUCCCUUCUUCCCUCCACCAAAACGAUUGGAGAUUCGCACCACGAGACGAUGAUCCGAUCGGCAAGGAUUGACACCUUGGGAGGAGGGGAUUGAGGGGGGGCGGCUAGGGUUUGGUGGCUGCAAGAAUUGAGAGAGGAGGAGAUGGGCAGGGGGGCGGCGGCCAAGGGGGGAAGGAGAAGUGGGG
rnacentral:lncRNA from 1 species